ACGCGCAACAAAGGGGAGAGCGCGGCGCGAACCACCGGGGGCUCCAUGGGGGAACCCGGCCCCGGGCGGGACCACCCUUCGGGCCACAGGGGACACCCCGGAGCGGCGGGGGCCGCGGACAAAGGCGUCUGCAUGAUACAUGCUCUGCAAACUCUAGUUUCACUCUUGCAGCCCAGACUGGUGUGCAAUGUUGUGUUCUCGGCUCACUGCAACCUCCACCUCCUGGGUUCAAGCGAUUCUCCUGCCUUAGCCUUCCAAGUACCUGGGAUUACCUGCCACCGUGCUCAGCUAAUAUUUUGUAUUUUUAGUUGAGAUGGGGUUUCACCAUGUUGGCCAGGCUGGUCUCAAAACUCCUGACCUCAGGUGAUCCACCCGCCUUGACCUCCCAAAGUGCUGGGAUUACAGGCUUGAGCCACCACGCCCAGGCCCUCUCAUAUUUCUAGAGAAGCUGGAUGCUACAUUGCAACUAACUGCAAGGUGCCCUGUGAAGAGGCCUGUAAUGGCGAGAAAGCGAGGGAAACCUCCAGCCAACAACAAGGAACUGAGGCUCUUGGCCCCAUCACCUGUGAGGAACUGAAUACUGCCAACAGGCAUGUGAGUGGACUGGAAGUGGGCCCUCCUCACAGAGCCUUCUGAUGACUGCACAGGCCCAGCCAACAGCUCGACUGCAACCCUGAGAGCCCAGGAGCCAGCAGCUCAGCCAAGCCUGGAUUCCUGAUCCCCAGCAACUGUUCAUAACGGAAAACAGCUGUUCAUAAGCGUGGGUACUCCCAAACAUGGAUAUUCAGGACAACUACUGGAGAUAGUUGUAGAAUCUCACCAUCUUCACACAGACUUGUAUUUAGGAACCAGCGCCGUAUUGCACCGUAGUUCAAUUACUAUUUAUGGUCUGUAUUCACACAAGAAACAUUUACCAACAAAGGCAAACUGGACAGUGUCUCUUCCUUCUCAUGAGACUGGAUUCCGAGGGCCUUUGGGGGAAUUUGGUCUUCCACCCCAGGACGUAGGUGAAUAUAGUCCGGGCCACGUCUUUCAUUUCUGAAAGCCAACUGUGGAGCAGGAAAGAGUAAACGUUUUUUUUCCUUGCUGGUGGAUUCCCCGUUUUUGCCAGGACCAAAAAUAUACCAUCUUACAUUCAAGUAGCUGUUUGUGGACAUCCUUGCGGAGAAAUAUUCAGUGUUCAGAACGGUCAUAACCUUGACCAGAAGUCUUGGACUAACCGUCUCAGGGGAACCCACUGUGGCUUUUGCUUGAUUUAAAAUGAACCAAGCUGAUUAACUUGUACAGUUCCGAUUUCUUCCACAACCAAGUCACAGAGCUUCUGUGAAAUCUCUCAGGUUAAGUCAUCAUCAACUCACUCGUGACUAAGGCCCAGGAGCGGAAGUGUCGAGAGCAUCACGGUGUGUUCUGUUCAGCUGCUCAGAACAAGUCAACUCCUGAUGAUGGAUGCAACGACCCGACUUCCGUGUCCUUGCCAAAUGCUGUCACCUUGGAUCAAGGUGUCCUGUCAAGUCCCCCUGUCAUGACAGCUGUCUGUAGUUGUGCUUCAGAACUCUGGCCAGUCUAUGUGAAACUUUUCUUUUCUCUCAAUAUACAAAAAAAAAAAAUGAGUCCUUUCCCAGUGUUGGGCCCGCCUUGGCACCAUGCCACAGACUUCUUCGGUCACAUCAAGUUUCUUAACACCACAAAUAAAUAAAGCUAACUGGGUGGUAAUAGUUUAUGAGCAGCGAAAGAAAAGGCCACAAUCAAUUUGACUCUUUCAAGCAACUGGACUUGUAAAUCCCCCGAGUUAUCUCCAACUCACUGUGCAACCCAAAUGCCCGUUAGACUUAAAUAAUGGUCUCAACAGUCAUGUGUUUCUGUAAAGGACACGUCACUCUGCUCCUUUAUCAACUCGCCAUCUGCUGUAGCUCUGAAUGCCCAGGUCAUUCUUCUCACGUGAUUCCGGAACAGCGUACCACUGCCGCACCACUUGUUAAUUCGCUUUUCAAGACAAACCCUACUGACAUUUGAGUCCCUUUUUCAGUUCGCUGAGGAUGGCGUCUCGAGUCUGCUCUGUGUACUGGUCGUAGCUCUUGCUAUGCUUUGAUUCGUAGUGGCGUUUCAGGUUGUAUUCUUUCAACACAGACACGUUUUGUUUGCAUAUUAAACACAUAGGCAUGCUCUUCACUUCCACAAA